AGCGGCGAACGGGUGAGUAACACGUAGGUGAUCUGCCCAUCAGACGGGGACAACGAUUGGAAACGAUCGCUAAUACCGGAUAGGACGAAAGUUUAAAGGUGCUUCUGGCACCGCUGAUGGAUGAGCCUGCGGCGCAUUAGCUAGUUGGUAGGGUAAAGGCCUACCAAGGCGACGAUGCGUAGCCGACCUGAGAGGGUGAACGGCCACACUGGGACUGAGACACGGCCCAGACUCCUACGGGAGGCAGCAGUAGGGAAUCUUCGGCAAUGGGCGAAAGCCUGACCGGGCAACGCCGCGUGAAUGAUGAAGGCCUUAGGGUUGUAAAAUUCUGUUAUAAGGGAAGAACGACUUUAGUAGGAAAUGGCUAGAGUGUGACGGUACCUUAUGAGAAAGCCACGGCUAACUACGUGCCAGCAGCCGCGGUAAUACGUAGGUGGCGAGCGUUAUCCGGAAUUAUUGGGCGUAAAGAGCGCGCAGGUGGUUGAUUAAGUCUGAUGUGAAAGCCCACGGCUUAACCGUGGAGGGUCAUUGGAAACUGGUCGACUUGAGUGCAGAAGAGGGAAGUGGAAUUCCAUGUGUAGCGGUGAAAUGCGUAGAGAUAUGGAGGAACACCAGUGGCGAAGGCGGCUUCCUGGUCUGUAACUGACACUGAGGCGCGAAAGCGUGGGGAGCAAACAGGAUUAGAUACCCUGGUAGUCCACGCCGUAAACGAUGAGUGCUAAGUGU
rnacentral:rRNA from 1 species